GUGAGGAAUAUUGGUCAAUGGGCGAGAGCCUGAACCAGCCAAGUAGCGUGCAGGAUGACGGCCCUAUGGGUUGUAAACUGCUUUUACACGGGGAUAAAGUGUGCGACGUGUCGUUCAUUGCAGGUACCGUGCGAAUAAGGACCGGCUAAUUCCGUGCCAGCAGCCGCGGUAUUACGGAAGGUCCGGGCGUUAUCCGGAUUUAUUGGGUUUAAAGGGAGCGUAGGCCGUCUGUUAAGCGUGUUGUGAAAUGUCGUGGCUCAACCAUGGACUUGCAGCGCGAACUGCCUGACUUGAGUGCGCAGAAAGCAGGCGGAAUUUGUGGUGUAGCGGUGAAAUGCUUAGAUAUCACGAAGAACCCCGAUUGCGAAGGCAGCCUGCUGUAGCGCUACUGACGCUGAAGCUCGAAAGUGCGGGUAUCGAACAGGAUUAGAUACCCCUGUAGUCC
rnacentral:rRNA from 1 species